AGAGUUUGAUCCUGGCUCAGAUUGAACGCUGGCGGCAGGCCUAACACAUGCAAGUCGAGCGGAUGACGGGAGCUUGCUCCUUGAUUCAGCGGCGGACGGGUGAGUAAUGCCUAGGAAUCUGCCUGGUAGUGGGGGACAACGUUUCGAAAGGAACGCUAAUACCGCAUACGUCCUACGGGAGAAAGCAGGGGACCUUCGGGCCUUGCGCUAUCAGAUGAGCCUAGGUCGGAUUAGCUAGUUGGUGGGGUAAUGGCUCACCAAGGCGACGAUCCGUAACUGGUCUGAGAGGAUGAUCAGUCACACUGGAACUGAGACACGGUCCAGACUCCUACGGGAGGCAGCAGUGGGGAAUAUUGGACAAUGGGCGAAAGCCUGAUCCAGCCAUGCCGCGUGUGUGAAGAAGGUCUUCGGAUUGUAAAGCACUUUAAGUUGGGAGGAAGGGCAGUAAGCUAAUACCUUGCUGUUUUGACGUUACCGACAGAAUAAGCACCGGCUAACUCUGUGCCAGCAGCCGCGGUAAUACAGAGGGUGC
rnacentral:rRNA from 1 species